UACGAAGGGGGCUAGCGUUGCUCGGAAUGACUGGGCGUAAAGGGCGCGUAGGCGGAUGGCACAGUCAGAUGUGAAAUUCCCGGGCUUAACCUGGGGGCUGCAUUGAUACGUGUUGUCUUGAGUUCGGAAGAGGGUCGUGGAAGUUCCCAGUGUCAGAGGUGAAAGUUCGAUAGAUAUUGGGAAGAACACCGGUGGCGAAGGCGGCGACCUGGUCCGACACUGACGCUGAGGCGCGAAAGCGUGGGGAGCAAACAGG
rnacentral:rRNA from 1 species